rnacentral:tRNA from 1 species
GGGGUUGUGGUAGUGGUAGAGCGCCCACCUAUCAUGUGUGAGGCACUGGGUUCAAUCCUCAGCACCACA